rnacentral:other from 1 species
UAAAUCCUGAGAUGUCCGCGAAGCUUGUAGUAUUCAACCUACAGAAUUGAUACGGGAUUUUCAACAUUUUUACAGAUGUCAAGCUGCACAGGUUAUUAGAUGUAGUAGGCAGAAGUAAGAUGAGAAAAACCCACCUGCUAAGUGCAGGUAUGAAUUUAUGGGCGUGACGGCAUGUUGGGAUAAAA